UCGAACGAGUUCUCGUUGAUGAUCGGUGCUUGCACCGAGAUUCAACAUGGAACGAGUGGCGGACGGGUGAGUAACACGUGGGUAACCUGCCCUUAAGUGGGGGAUAACAUUUGGAAGCAGAUGCUAAUACCGCAUAGAUCCAAGAACCGCAUGGUUCUUGGCUGAAAGAUGGCGUAAGCUAUCGCUUUUGGAUGGACCCGCGGCGUAUUAGCUAGUUGGUGAGGUAAUGGCUCACCAAGGCGAUGAUACGUAGCCGAACUGAGAGGUUGAUCGGCCACAUUGGGACUGAGACACGGCCCAAACUCCUACGGGAGGCAGCAGUAGGGAAUCUUCCACAAUGGACGCAAGUCUGAUGGAGCAACGCCGCGUGAGUGAAGAAGGCUUUCGGGUCGUAAAACUCUGUUGUUGGAGAAGAAUGGUCGGCAGAGUAACUGUUGUCGGCGUGACGGUAUCCAACCAGAAAGCCACGGCUAACUACGUGCCAGCAGCCGCGGUAAUACGUAGGUGGCAAGCGUUAUCCGGAUUUAUUGGGCGUAAAGCGAGCGCAGGCGGUUUUUUAAGUCUGAUGUGAAAGCCCUCGGCUUAACCGAGGAAGCGCAUCGGAAACUGGGAAACUUGAGUGCAGAAGAGGACAGUGGAACUCCAUGUGUAGCGGUGAAAUGCGUAGAUAUAUGGAAGAACACCAGUGGCGAAGGCGGCUGUCUGGUCUGUAACUGACGCUGAGGCUCGAAAGCAUGGGUAGCGAACAGGAUUAGAUACCCUGGUAGUCCAUGCCGUAAACGAUGAAUGCUAGGUGUUGGA
rnacentral:rRNA from 1 species